AACCAGAGACCUUUGUUCACUUGUUUAUCUGCUGACCUUCCCUCCACUAUUGUCCUGUGACCCUGCCAAAUCCCCCUCUGCGAGAAACACCCAAGAAUGAUCAAUAAAAAAAAAAAAAAAAUAAAUAAAUAAAUAAAAAGAAAGUCAGGCUUAAAAAUAAAAACAAGCAGGCUGGGCGCAGUGGCUCACACCUGUAAUCCCCGCACUUUGGGAGGCUGAGGCAGAUGGAUCAUUUAAGGUCAGGAGUUGGAGAACAACCUGGGCAACACGGCGAAACCCUGUCUCUACUAAAAACACAAAAAUUAGUUGGGUAUGGUGGUGCACACCUGUAAUCCCAGCUACUCGGGAGGCUGAGGUGGGAGAAUCGCUUGAGCCCAGUGGGGUGGGGAUGGAGGCGGAGUUUGUAGUGAGCCAAGAUUGCACCACUGCACUCCAGCCUGGGUGACAGGUGACAGAGUGAGACUCUGUCUUAAAAAAUAAAAUAAAUAAAUAAAAACAAGCAGGAAAACUACUGAGCAGAUCAGCGCCCGGAAUAAAGGUUACUAAUAUUACAAUAAUAUUUUCAUUAGAACGUUCUAAUUAUAAAAAUAAAACUUGUUUUCUUAAAAAAGAAAAGCAGCAGAAAUAGCAGCAGCUGCACACUGUGAGGAGAAGGCAGACUCCAAAGAAUCAGUCCAAGCCAGCCACUAAAUGAACAAACAAGACGGCAACAACAAUGCUGGGAAAGGGAACUGGAAUCCACAGUUGUUACAAUAUAUUUUAUUUAUUUACUUAUUUAUUUUUAUGUUAUUUUAAUUUUUUUUGAGAUGGAGUCUCACUCUGUUGCCCAGGCUGGAGUGCAAUGGUGCGAUCUCGGCUCACUGCAACCUCCACCUCCCGGGUUCAAGGGAUUCUCCGGCCUCCACCUCCCGAGUAGCUGGGAUUACAGGCAUGCACCACCAUGCCUGGCUAAUUUUUGUAGUUUUGUAGAGAUGGGGUUUCACCAUGUUGGCUAGGCUGGUCUUGAACUUCUGACCUCAGGUGAUCUGCCUGCCUCAGCCUCCCAAAGUGCUGGCAUUACAGGCAUGAACCACUGUGCCCGGCCUUAUUUUAUUUAUUUAUUUACUGAGACAUGGUCUUGCUCUAUCACCAAGGCUGGAGUGCAGUGGCACAAUCUUGGCUCACUGCAACUUCUCGGCCUCUGAGUAGCUGGGACUACAGGCACACCAGCUAAUUUUUGUAUUUUUUGUAGAGACAGGGUCUCACUGUGUUGCCCAGGCUGGUCUCAAACUCCUGGCCUCAAAGGAUCCUACCACCUCGACCUCCCAAAGUGCUGAAAUUACAGGUGUGAGCCACCGUGUUUGGCCAUAUUAUCUAAAAUGUCCAUUUGUCAACAAAAAAUUGCAAGACAUGCAAAGAAAAAGGAAAGUGUGACCCACACUCUGGAAAAAAAGAGAGUCAACAGAAACUCACUGAGGGGUCCCAGAUGUUAGACUUUGUCUCUCUCCUUCCCUCUCUUUCUCCCUGUUCCAAUUUCCAGGGACGAGGCUCUGACUGGCCAGGUUCCACCCCUGAUCCUAUCAUCUGUGGAGGAGGUGGAGUGGGCAGAGAAAAAUUGUAAUAACAUAGUACGUGGAAGCUACUUGACCCCACAUGGGUGAAGAUCAUUUCCUAGAGAAAAGAGGGGUCACUGGUUCCAGUUUAGGUAGACAUCCCCAGAGGUGUCUGUUGCUCUUGUUUCUUUUCUGAAAGGUAAGUGGUGACACCUCCAGGAGCCCAGUGGCAUUUGGAUUUGUUAUCUCCCACUGGGAGGACGGCAUCCUUCAUUUGCUGGCCAUUUCUUAGGUUGGUGAUUUGCAAACAUCCCUUCUCCCCAUGGAGGGACUGUGUAGAGUUGGAAGAGGGGAGGGAUGGGAAGAGGCUACACUAACCCUAGGCUCCUUUUCAGCAACCAAGUCUCAGAAGUGGUGCCAUCAUUCACUUUUGAUUUAAUGUAAAUUGCAUUAAAACAACAAAGAAAUAGUUGUUGGAUCUCUUUCCUCUGACUCCAUUUCUGCCAAUGAUCAAGAUUGGGCUGUGUGACCAGGACAUGGGUGGGAGCCCUGACAACACUCAGGGUGGGCCCUGUGUGAACCGCAGCUCUCAAGUAGCAAGGAGAAGACAAAAGAACCAGGAAUGAGAAAAAUAAAAGGUAUUAAAAUAGGCUUAGCUACUUUGGGGUUUUCCUUUGUAUUUAUAUUUAGCAAGGAUUGUGUGCCUAACUCUGCAUUAAAAUAGCUGAUGCUACCAGUCAUUGUUCCAGGCCUUUGCACACUGCAGCCUGGCAGGCUUUCUGCAGCCAAAAGUGAAGGCAGCUGGCAGGGCCUGGCCCACCCAAGCCGAGGAGAGGGCAUUUAUUUCAUGGACCUCCCUCACUGAACCCUCGUGGGCGUGAAUGCAAACAGAAGCAGGGCACUUUGGGUAUGGCUCCGAGCUGGGAAGGCUCAUAGGACC
rnacentral:lncRNA from 10 species